CCCUUAGAUGUCCGGGGCUGCACGCGCGCUACACUGAAGGAAUCAGCGUGCUAAAACCAUUGUCGAAAGGCAUUGGUAAACCCAUUAAAAUCCUACGUGAUUGGGAUCGGGAAUUGCAAUUAUUUCCCUUGAACGAGGAAUUCCCAGUAAGUGUGGGUCAUAAGCUCGCGUUGAUUACGUCCCUGCCCUUUGUACACACCGCCCGUCGCUGCCCGGGACUGAGCCGUUUCGAGAAAAGCGGGGACUGCUGCUGUCGGGGCUUUCGGGCCUUGGCUUCGGUGGAAACCGCUUUAAUCGCAGUGGCUUAAACCGGGCAAAAGUCGUANCA
rnacentral:rRNA from 1 species